CAGUCGCCGCGGUAAUACGAAGGGGGCUAGCGUCGUUCGGAAUUACUGGGCGUAAAGGGCGCGUAGGCGGCCAUUCAAGUUAGAUGUGAAAGCCCUGGGCUCAACCUAGGAAUUGCAUUUGAUACUGUUUGGCUUGAGUUCGGGAGAGGUGAGUGGAAUUCCCAGUGUAGAGGUGAAAUUCGUAGAUAUUGGGAAGAACACCAGUGGCGAAGGCGGCUCACUGGACCGACACUGACGCUGAGGCGCGAAAGCGUGGGGAGCAAACAGGAUUAGAUACCCGAGUAGUCCCUGUCUCUUAUAC
rnacentral:rRNA from 1 species